rnacentral:lncRNA from 1 species
CCUUCAAUAAAUGUAUCCAGAAGUUGUCGUUCCGACCAAUCUCUAGCUUGAUUUGAUAAUCUUUCAAACCUACUCUGAUAUUCCAACACUGUAGAAGUCUGACAAAUUUUGGCGAGCUGUCCAUCCACCUUCAUGUACGAGUAGAUUAUGUCACAAUCUUGGAGCCCUUUUCUAGUAUUUCCAGAUCUGUGCAAUGUAGAACUUGAGCUCCCACCUUGUUGAAAUUUACUAAGGCUCCCCAGUAAGUCCUUUUUGAAAUCAUUAAGUACUUCUUGUAACCGGUUCUCAAUUCUAAUUUCCAAUGCUUCCAUUUGUGCUUUCACUGAGUUAUCAGUGGCUAUUUCGUAAGACUGCA